CCUACGGGAGGCAGCAGUGGGGAAUAUUGCACAAUGGGGGAAACCCUGAUGCAGCGACGCCGCGUGAGUGAAGAAGUAUUUCGGUAUGUAAAGCUCUAUCAGCAGGGAAGAAAAAAGACGGUACCUGACUAAGAAGCCCCGGCUAACUACGUGCCAGCAGCCGCGGUAAUACGUAGGGGGCAAGCGUUAUCCGGAAUUACUGGGUGUAAAGGGUGCGUAGGUGGCAUGGUAAGUCAGAAGUGAAAGCCCGGGGCUUAACCCCGGGACUGCUUUUGAAACUGUCAUGCUGGAGUGCAGGAGAGGUAAGCGGAAUUCCUAGUGUAGCGGUGAAAUGCGUAGAUAUUAGGAGGAACACCAGUGGCGAAGGCGACUUACUGGACUGUCACUGACACUGAUGCACGAAAGCGUGGGGAGCAAACAGGAUUAGAUACCCGGGUAGUC
rnacentral:rRNA from 1 species